rfam:Schistosoma curassoni strain Dakar, Senegal genome assembly, scaffold: SCTD_contig0002947
AUUCGGCUGACGUGUCCCAAACUGGACGAAACGCGUGUCCUGGAU